rnacentral:rRNA from 1 species
UACGGAGGGGGCCAGCGUUGUUCGGAAUCAUUGGGCGUAAAGGGCGCCUAGGUGGCCAAGCAAGUCGGACGUGAAAGCCCCCGGCUCAACCGGGGAAUUGCAUCCGAAACUGCUAGGCUCGAGUCCUGGAGAGGGUAGCGGAAUUCCCAGUGUAGCGGUGAAAUGCGUAGAUACUGGGAGGAACACCGGUGGCGAAGGCGGCUACCUGGACAGGUACUGACACUGACGCGCGAAAGCGUGGGGAGCAAACAGG